rnacentral:rRNA from 1 species
GACAGAGGAUGCAAGCGUUAUCCGGAAUGAUUGGGCGUAAAGCGUCUGUAGGUGGCUUUUCAAGUCCGCCGUCAAAUCCCAGGGCUCAACCCUGGACAGGCGGUGGAAACUACCAAGCUGGAGUACGGUAGGGGCAGAGGGAAUUUCCGGUGGAGCGGUGAAAUGCAUUGAGAUCGGAAGGAAGCCGGUGGCGAAAGCGACGGACUGGAUCUCUUCUGACGCUGAGCGCGAAAGCUAGGGGAGCAAACGGG